UGGGGAAUUUUGGACAAUGGGCGAAAGCCUGAUCCAGCAAUGCCGCGUGUGUGAAGAAGGCCUUCGGGUUGUAAAGCACUUUUGUCCGGAAAGAAAUCCUUGGCUCUAAUACAGUCGGGGGAUGACGGUACCGGAAGAAUAAGCACCGGCUAACUACGUGCCAGCAGCCGCGGUAAUACGUAGGGUGCAAGCGUUAAUCGGAAUUACUGGGCGUAAAGCGUGCGCAGGCGGUUUGCUAAGACCGAUGUGAAAUCCCCGGGCUCAACCUGGGAACUACAUUGGUGACUGGCAGGCUAGAGUAUGGCAGAGGGGGGUAGAAUUCCACGUGUAGCAGUGAAAUGCGUAGAGAUGUGGAGGAAUACCGAUGGCGAAGGCAGCCCCCUGGGCAAUACUGACGCUCAUGCACGAAAAGCGUGGGGGAGCAAACAGGAUUAGAUACCCUGGUAGUCCACGCCCUAAACGAUGUCAACUAGUUGUUGGGGAUUCAUUCCUUAGUAACGUAGCUAACGCGUGAAGUUGACCGCCUGGGGAGUACGGUCGCAAGAUUAAAACUCAAAUGAAUUGACGGGGU
rnacentral:rRNA from 1 species